CAUUAUUUUAUUUAUUUCUUUAUAAGGGAAGUGUGUGUUCACCUAUGACCCCAUGUCGUCACCCUCUGCUUUUCGAGCGCGCGACUGUCAAAAUAUCAACAACGGAUUUGUUAACUUUAAACUCCUUUAGCCACUUUCGUAUGUUUUAUGUACAUCCUUCCUUCUGUAACAGGAUACACAGACCAUAAUUUGGCGAUGUGCUCGAAGAUUAUAUCUAGGGCUAAAGAGUUUUUCACGAUUCUUCGCUCUCUUCAGGAUGCGGAAAGCAGUGAUCCGUAUAUAUAUGAGGAGGAGGUCCAAAUAGUGAAGAUGAACGGAGACGGAAUCCCUGCGGUGAAUAUGUAUUGUGGGAACCAGACAAUCUUCGUCUGUGAAAAAGCUGU